UGACCCGUCUUGAAACACGGACCAAGGAGUCCAGCGUGUGCGCGAGUCAUUGGGAUAACACUAAACCUAAAGGCGCAAUGAAAGUGAAAGUCCGUCUUGCGCGGACAGAGGGAAGACGGUCGAUUCUUCGGAAGAGAUCCGCAUUCCCGGGGCGUCUCGUUCUCAUUGCGAGAAGAGGCGCACCAAGAGCGUACACGCUGGGACCCGAAAGAUGGUGAACUAUGCCUGGUCAGGACGAAGUCAGGGGAAACCCUGAUGGAGGUCCGUAGCGAUUCUGACGUGCAAAUCGAUCGUCGGAACUGGGUAU
rnacentral:rRNA from 1 species